AAUUUCAGUGUAGCAAUAUAUUGAAGUUGGAGUAGCGCAAGGGUGCGUAACACGUGGGUAAUUUGCCCUGAAGUUGGGGAUAACUCGCUGAAAGGCGAGCUAAUACCGGAUGUGAAGUUCGGGUGGCAUCACCUGACCUUUAAAGCUGGGGAUCGUAAGACCUGGCGCUUCAGGAUAAGCCCGCGGCCUAUCAGCUAGUUGGUGAGGUAACGGCUCACCAAGGCUAAGACGGGUAGCUGGUCUGAGAGGACGACCAGCCACACUGGAACUGAGACACGGUCCAGACACCUACGGGUGGCAGCAGUCGAGAAUUUUUCUCAAUGGGCGCAAGCCUGAAGGAGCGACGCCGCGUGGGGGAUGAAGGGUUUCGAUCCGUAAACCCCUGUCAUUUGUGAACAAUGGUUAGUGUUUAAGAGAUGCUGACUUGAUAGUAAUGAAAGAGGAAGGGACGGCUAACUCUGUGCCAGCAGCCGCGGUAAUACAGAGGUCCCGAGCGUUGUUCGGAUUCACUGGGCGUAAAGGGUGCGUAGGUGGCUUGAAAAGUUUGAUGUGAAAGCUCAGGGCUUAACCCUGAAAUGGCAUUGAAUACUGUCGAGCUGGAGGUUUGGAGGGGGGACUGGAAUUCUUGGUGUAGCAGUGAAAUGCGUAGAUAUCAAGAGGAACACCAGUGGCGAAGGCGAGUCCCUGGACAACACCUGACACUGAGGCACGAAAGCUAGGGGAGCAAACAGGAUUAGAUACCCUGGUAGUCCUAGCCCUAAACGGUGCACGUUUGCUGUAAAAGGAAUCGACCCCUUUUGU
rnacentral:rRNA from 1 species